rnacentral:rRNA from 1 species
UAAUACGGAGGUGGCGAGCGUUGCUCGGAUUUACUGGGUGUAAAGGGCACGUAGGCGGUCUUGUAAGCCCUUCCUGAAAGGCUCUGGCUCAACCAGGGCAGUGGGCAGGGGACUGCAGGACUAGAGGAUGGAAAAGGCAAGCGGAAUUCCCGGUGUAAGGGUGAAAUCUGUAGAUAUCGGGAGGAACACCAGUGGCGAAGGCGGCUUGCUGGUCCAUUUCUGACGCUGAGGUGCGAAAGCUAGGGGAGCGAACAGGAUUAGAUACCCUGGUAGUCCUAGCCGUAAACGAUGGACACUAGGUGUCGGCUCCGCUUGGAGUCGGUGCCGCAGCUAACGCGUUAAGUGUCCCACCUGAGGAGUACGGCCGCAAGGUUG